rnacentral:rRNA from 1 species
GAUGAACGCUGGCGGCGUGCCUAAUACAUGCAAGUCGAGCGAACAGACGAGGAGCUUGCUCCUCUGACGUUAGCGGCGGACGGGUGAGUAACACGUGGAUAACCUACCUAUAAGACUGGGAUAACUUCGGUAAACCGGAGCUAAUACCGGAUAAUAUCUUGCACCGCAUGGUUCAAUAGUGAAAGACGGUUUUGCUGUCACUUAUAGAUGGAUCCGCGCCGCAUUAGCUAGUUGGUAAGGUAACGGCUUACCAAGGCGACGAUGCGUAGCCGACCUGAGAGGGUGAGCGGCCACACUGGAACUGAGACACGGUCCAGAAUCCUACGGGAGGCAGCAGUAGGGAAUCUUCCGCAAUGGGCGAAAGCCUGACGGAGCAACGCCGCGUGAGUGAUGAAGGUCGUCGGAUCCUAAAACUCUGUUAUUAGGGAAGAACAAAUGUGUAAGUAACUAGGCACGGCGUUACGUGACCUAAUCAGAAAGCCACGGCUAACUACGUG